rnacentral:lncRNA from 1 species
AACAUAAACGAACCUUUGUGUAGUAACACGUGAUAAAUAAGAGUUUAAUCAUUUUUGCCCAAUUUCCAGGAAUCGCAUGUGAUACAAGAGCUGCGUCAACACAUAGUACAAAAGCCGACACAUCAGACCAGCUCACCAUCGGACAGGGACAGCAACAGCUACAAAUCGGGCGAGGAAGAGAGAAAAUGGAACUCGUCGUCGUCCACCAGCAUCAAUUCGUCUCAAGGAGUUUUGACUGUGACCACUGAGAACAAUAACGUUGCCAAAUUUGCGGCUUCUCAUUCGCUGGAUAAUCUCCAAAUUGCUCAACAGCAGAACACUGCAAAGGAACUGAAGGAUUUGAUCACGCCCAACUCAACGCCCACCACGUCGCGGAAGAAUAGGAGGCGAUCGAAUCUGUUCACCUCGUUAAAGAACGACAAGCACAAAAAUGGGGGUGAUUUUGGCAAUGGGCGCGCCAUUCCUCUGAAGCAGGUGGGUUUUUUCGGUUUUCAUUAGCGCAAUGAGAAUAGUGCCAAUAAAUGUGUUGAAUCUGUGAUAGCCAAAAUUAGUCGAAAUUUGACCGUGUAACGUCUUUGUUGUCAAGCAGUUACGAUAGUCAAUUUUGGUUUCCGCCAUUCAGUUUAGCAUCUUCAGUCUUCAGCACAUAGACUUGAGUUCCGAGUUAGAAAGGGAGUUUCGGCAAAUGAUAAAUUGUGAAGUUAUUCAAUGUUGUUUUUUCCAUGGUUACCUGUACAAAAAGUCCAGCAAACCUUUGAACAAAGAAUGGAAGAAGAAUACGUGACGCUGUGUGAUGAUGGCAGGUUGACCUAUCACCCGAGCCUGCACGAAUACAUGGACGACGUGCAUGGAAAGGAAAUCUCUCUACAGUAUGUGACUGUUAAAGUGCCCGGUGAGAAGCCACGCGGUUCUAAGUCAAUUGUCACCGUGUCCAGUCAGGGCUACGGCGGCUGCAGUUC